UGUGCUCCGCAACGGGAGAGGCCACAGCAGUGAGAAGCCCGCGUACCGCAAAAAAAAGUCUCUUUUUAUGGUCUAUUGGCCAUUUCAGAACUUUGGAAAUGUAAUGGUCAAUUCAUUAGAAAGAAACAUCU
rnacentral:snoRNA from 1 species